rnacentral:rRNA from 1 species
UACAGAGGGUGCGAGCGUUGUCCGGAAUCACUGGGCGUAAAAGGCGCGUAGGUGGCGGCCCAAGUCCAUGGUGAAAGCUCGAUGCUCAACAUCGAGUCGGCCACGGAUACUGGGUUGCUCGAGCACUGUAGGGGCAGAUGGAAUUCCGGGUGUAGCGGUGGAAUGCGUAGAGAUCCGGAAGAACACCGGUGGCGAAGGCGGUCUGCUGGGCAGUUGCUGACACUGAGGCGCGACAGCGUGGGGAGCAAACAGG